AGAAGGCAAUGAAGAUAAUUGAGCAAUAAAAUCACUCUCUCAGUCACAAGAGACUUCUUGCAAAGCUGGACUUAGGAUGUGAGAACAUCUCAAAGACAGUUGAGGACAAAUAUAAGACAGUUAAAACUCAAAUAAUGCAAAGAAGGUGAAAUGGAACAAGGAUUACAAGUUGUGUGACAAGAUGAUUAUCCAGUGGCCUGGCCAGUAACCCAAGCACAAGAAAACAUUUUCUGUCAUGUCACAAGACUCUGCCUUGGUAAAUCCAUAACAACUCUUGUGUUACCGAGUUCACAAAAGGGAUUUGCCAAAUUCAUGGGUCCAUCAGAGCUAUUAAAUGCAUUGGCUGAAUUUACAUCCUUCCAGGAACCACAGUGUAAAUCCUUCAUCCUGUGAUGAAGAAAUCUUGGCACUCCACCUGAAGGACAACAGUGCCCUCCUGUUUGCCUGCCCCAGUCAAGAUGAUUCAAAUCAAAACCUUACCAUGGUGGAUUUAACUGUGCUGCCAUAUUGAGGUGCAAACUGCUGCAUUGCCUCCUAAAGAAAAAAACUCAUAUACAUGAGAGGCCACAUGGAGCUACACCCAGAAAUCUGGUCUUAAUUCAGGUGGGAUUUCAUGGUCUUUUCACUGUCAAAGGAGACUAAAACAUAAAAAGAGAGAAAAUCUGCAUAUCACAGAUAUUUUGUCAUCGCUACAAAAUCAUGUGGAAAAGCAUUUUCCAGGGGCAGCAAACCAAGGUUUUUCUGCUAAUGCAUGAUCAGGUUUUGCUGCUGAUGAACUGACUGACCUUGGAUAAGCUGUGGAGUAACUCAAGCCCAACAGUAGAACUCACCCAGAAAAAUGAUGAUAAGCUAUCACAUUUUUAUAUGAGAGGGAAUGGAUUUUUUUUUUCAAUCACUAACCCACAGGAAGGGUGAAAUAUCAUGUUUGAUUUCAACACUUUGUAAG